rnacentral:lncRNA from 1 species
CGGCGGCGGCGGCCCGGGCCGGGCGGGGGCGGGGGCGUCUGCGCGCACACGCGGGCUCGCAGACACACACACACGCACACGCGGGCCACGCCGCGCACACCCGCACCCGCGCCCGCGCUCACACUCACUCACACUCACACUCGCGCGCAGGCCCCGCAGCCGCCGCCGCCUCCGGAAGCGGCGCUCGGCCCGGAUCCCGGCCGGGCUGGAGAAGGAGAAGACCUGGGUGAGAAGCUGCUGCCGCCUGAGCCAGACUGGGACCGAGACCCCGUUGCUCCUGCUGCCGCUGCCAGCGCAGGGCCUCCCUGAGACCAGGCCAGGGAUAGACCUCGUGGGCCGGAGGGGCCCCCUUAGCCUGCAGACAUCGGAGCCAGGAGACAGAUGGGUCUCUUCCUUCCUGUCCCGUCUCUCAAGCUCCCUCCUCAGAGCUUCAUUCUCCAGCCUCCUGUGGGAAUCGUGGGAAUCGUCUGAAGUUUGAGCCUAGAACCAGAGGAGGAGGAGGAGGAGGAGGAAGAAGACAAGGAAGAGGAGGAGGAGGAGGGAGAGGAAGUCUUGAGAGCCCGUGCACCUUUCCAGAAACAGGCGGUGGGGGUGCGUCCCAGGCCCAUCCUCGGUGGCCCACGCCUGCCAGUAGCACCCCUGAGAGGACCCCCCCCCCCACCGCCGCCCUCUACCGCGGUUGGCACCGGCCGCGUCUGCUCCCUCGGGGGGACCCCUGUGCCGGGGGUCGCCCCCAAGAUGGUGGCGGCCCCAGGGAGGACUGUGCCGCCAGCCCCAGCCUCCCGCUGCUAGGUC